CCUCGGAUCUCAGCUUCCUGGGUAGCUAGGUGCCUGCUCUAUGAAACUCUUAGAAGAACCAGAGUAAAUCUUUGUGACCUUACACAGUCUUCAUACACGAUGCCAAAGGUACAGACAACAAGAGGAAAAACAUAAAUUUGACUUUAUCACAACUUAAAACUGUUAUAUGCUGAAGGACCUUAUCAAGAAAGUGGAAAGAGAAUCUAAGAACAAGAGAAAAAAUUUCAAACACAUCGCUCUUUUAUUAUCCCCUCAAUGGUGAGGCCUGAAGCAAACACAAUACCACUGUGCUUCACCCUCAACCAAAAGCAUAUAUUAAAUAAAUAAUCUACAUCUAGAGAAUAUGAACUUUUACAGAUAAUAAGACCAGAAACAUAACUUAAAAAUGAGCAAAGGGCAUAAGAGAUAUUAUGCCAAUAAAGCCAUAUAAAUAAACUAAUAAGCACACAAAAAGAUGCUUAACAUCAUCAGUCUUCAAUGAAAUGCAAAUCAAAACUACAAGAUUCCAUUUGAUAUCGUGUACGACAGCUGCAACUUUUAAAAGGUCGACAAUAAGUACUGGAUAUA